rnacentral:rRNA from 1 species
CCUACGGGAGGCAGCAGUGAGGAAUAUUGCACAAUGGGGGAAACCCUGAUGCAGCGACGCCGCGUGAGUGAAGAAGUAAUUCGUUACGUAAAGCUCUAUCAGCAGGGAAGAAAUACUUACCUUACGGUCAGCAGACGGUACCUGAGUCAGAAGCCCCGGCUAACUACGUGCCAGCAGCCGCGGUAAUACGUAGGGGGCAAGCGUUAUCCGGAGUUACUGGGUGUAAAGGGAGCGUAGACGGUGCGCCAAGGCUGGAGUGAACAGCCGCAGCUUAACUGCGGAACUGCUUUGGAAACUGGCGAACUAGAGUGCGGGAGGGGUAAGCGGAAUUCCUGGUGUAGCGGUGAAAUGCGUAGAUAUUAGGAGGAACACCGGUGGCGAAGGCGGCUUACUGGACCGUAACUGACGUUGAGGCUCGAAAGCGUGGGGAGCAAACAGGAUUAGAUACCCUAGUAGUC